UAACUAUUAACCACACGGGUCUGUAUGUUUUUUUUUGCCGAUCGUGUAACUGCAUGUGUGUGUAUUCUAUCAUAGAAGAGAUUGAUAAAAUGAUCUGAAAUGUUCAGCAACAAUGUUUGUUGAUAGACAUGGGCUAAUGAAUAUUUUAUGUGGUUUUAGUCCUCGUGGUUAAAGCUGGUACAUGGAUAUCCUUUAAGAGUAAUCGACGAGUGAUUGUUCCCGAGAUGCCUAAAUCUAAUUAGCAUUAUCCGCUUUUGUUUUCUGUGGCAAUUCGUGAUAAGGUCAAUGUUUAAUUGAUUAUGUAACAGUGUCAUUAUCUCAUAACAUUGAAGUAUCUUUAUAUUUUAAUUUGUGUUCUUACCUUGCAUAAUUGCUGUGCCAUAUGGUAUAUACAUGAUGUACAUGUAUAGUGUUACAUGUUUAUAAUACCUGUGUAAACCUGUUUUGUAGAGUUCAUGGGUCAUGCUAUAUUUAUAUUGGAAUGACCAGGGGUCAAUACGCUCCCGCGCUUUUUGGGUUAGUGUCACUCCCGUACUGGACGUUGAUACGGUCGGACGUGUGUGAUUAGUCAGCGCACCUUACAUGUUUUUCCAAUUAUCACAAGUUCCGACGUACGGGUUGUCUCCCCGGGAGUCGGGCCCUCUUCGUCUGUGAAGAGGGUUUCUUACGGAUGUUAUAAACAUUUGAAUGGGAAAAGUUGUGUUGGAGUGUUUCGUGCAAAGACCUAGAGUAGACCCUGCUACGAUAAGGAAAAUGACAUGAAAUGCAGUUGCAUGUGAAAAAUAUUUCACAUAUAUUCUUUACUGCCAUUAACAAGGAAUAAACAUAUUUCAAAACAAUUUUCGUAUUUAAAAUA